rnacentral:lncRNA from 1 species
GACGGUGUGGUGUGUAGGUUCCUAUCGUUAUUGCUUCCGUUGUUGGCCUGGGGCGCCGCGGAUGACCCUACAUAGCCCUUGGCCGGCCACCGGGAAGAUUGCGUCUCGUACUGACGAUCGUAACAAAGACGCACCGUGCUUUCCUUCUGAGGGUUUAGUCGCCCUAAUACGUGCAGCAGACUAGUCAUGUGGAAGUUUGUCUGCUGAAAGUAAGCGCCCUCCCGGGAGGAUGUGUUGAACUUUUGGGAAGGUUGGUGACUAAACUCUGCUUGUGCUAACUGCCCAGCAAUGACUCAGUUGAGGUAAGAGGUGGGCUGGACCCACUGGAGCGUGCUCAGAUGGGAUGUACGUGGCUGCCUUGAAGAUGCUGUCCUAGAACAGCACCACAGGCCUGGCUCGGCUUUGCCUGUGACAUUGGGGCAAAGAGCAAGUGGCUAUUUCUACGCUCAGUGUUCAGAAGCCAGUGAGCACUAAGAAUGGUUUGUAGCCUGACAUUUUGCAGAGCCACAGUGGAAUGGCACUGGGGUUUGGCUUUGCUGUUGGCCAGAUGCCAAGCCUCUAGGGCUCACCAAAGGGUCACAUGGUCAGCAUUUUAGCAAGACAGAACUUUGGAGGUGUGUGUGAGUUUUCUAGAAGACCUUCUGAGAAGCUGGGAAAAUACAAGAAAUUAUCCGUCCUUUCUUCAUCUUCCAGAUCCAGAAGCCAGGAAGAAGGAAGGGGGCCUACUUAUUGGCCAAGAUGGCUGAUCGGGAUGAGUGCAGAUAUGAUUUUAGGCCGUGGGCCUGAGGUAUGUCCUCUGACCUCACCAGUGUC